rnacentral:rRNA from 1 species
GCAUACGCACUCCGCCCGGGGAGGACGGUCGCAAGACUGAAACUCAUAGGAAUUGACGGGCGCCCGCACAAGCGGUGGAGCAUGUGUUUUAAUUCGAAGCAACGGUAGAACCUUACCAGGUCUUGACAUCCUCUGUCGACCCUAGAGAUAGCCCUUUCCCUUCGGGGACAGAGUGAUCGGUGGUGUGUGGUUGGCGUCAGCUCGUGUCGGGAGAUGUUGGGUUAAGUCCCGGACGAGCGCAAUUCUUGAUAUUAGUUACCGGCAUUCAGUUGGGCACUCUAAGGUGACUGCCGGAGACAACAGGAGGAGGUUGGCGAGGAGGCAUAAUCAUCCUGCCCUUUU